GACGAACGCUGGCGGCGCGCUUAACACAUGCAAGUCGAACGGAAAGGCCUGCUUUCCCUUGUGGAUUGCGGUUACUCGAGUGGCGAACGGGUGAGUAACACGUGAGUGAUCUGCCCCCAACUUGGGUAUAAGCCUGGGAAACUGGGUCUAAUUCCCGAUAGGACUGCAGGGUGGUGCCUGUGGUGGAAAACGAUUUUCUAGUGGUUGGGGAUGAGCUCGCGGCCUAUCAGCUUGUUGGUGGGGUAAUGGCCUACCAAGGCGGCGACGGGUAGCCGGCCUGAGAGGGUGGACGGCCACAUUGGGACUGAGAUACGGCCCAGACUCCUACGGGAGGCAGCAGUGGGGAAUAUUGCACAAUGGGCGGAAGCCUGAUGCAGCGACGCCGCGUGGGGGAUGACGGCCUUCGGGUUGUAAACUCCUUUCGACCGCGAGGAAGCCACCUGGUUGGAAGGGUGGUGACGGUAGUGGUAGAAGAAGCACCGGCUAACUACGUG
rnacentral:rRNA from 1 species